UUUGGAUAGUGUAAACAUCAAAAAACUAUUUAAAAUAUAAAGCUUUGUAAGAAGUAUAAAUUAUAUUGUAUAAUUCAUCAUAUCAGCCCAUAUAAUUCUAGAUUGAUUGAUUGAUUGUUAAAAAAAAAAAAAAUUCUAGAUUGAUCAUCACAUUUUUAAUGGGCUUCGGCAAAAUGAAGUCAAGAAAGUUUGGCUGAGAUUUUAUUUAAUUUUUCUAAUAAUUAAGAUUGAGUGGCACAAGUUGUUAAUUAUUAAAGAAAAUUGAGUUAAGUAUUUGUUGUAUUUCAGUUUUAACAUAUUAGAUUCCUACAUAAAAACCCUAACAUUUAAAAACCAUUAAAUUAAAGCUUUAGUUAAUAUGUUGAGAGGUUGACAAAAAAAAUUAAUAUGUUGAGAGAGACAGAGAUAUUUAAUUAGAUGAGAGAUUAAAUCAACGGUUGGAAAUCAAUGAUGAGAGGAGAGAUAGCGCGUGGGAUAUGAGUUGAUGGCAACCCUACAAUGAAUGAUAUUCAACACGUGUCGAUUCCUGGAUGGUAAGCUUUGAUAAAUCCACCUGAUUUUUAUUUAUUUUAAUUGUUUUACUUUUCUAAUCGAGUUCAUGGAAUCAUGUGACCUAACCUUAAGUAGGUGAAGGCCCGUACGAUUUUCUCAACUUACUGAACUACCCCUGUGAUUGGUGAAUAUGUAGAGUAAACAUACACUUUUUGUGUUUCGUUAAUGGUGUGAUGAUAUCUAAAUUCUUACUGUUAGACUUGUUAUCUUUUUCCCCAUUUAU
rnacentral:lncRNA from 1 species